rnacentral:rRNA from 1 species
AGGCUACACAUGCAAGUCGAGCGGCAGCACGGGUACUUGUACCUGGUGGCGAGCGGCGGACGGGUGAGUAAUGCCUAGGAAUCUGCCUGGUAGUGGGGGAUAACGCUCGGAAACGGACGCUAAUACCGCAUACGUCCUACGGGAGAAAGCAGGGGACCUUCGGGCCUUGCGCUAUCAGAUGAGCCUAGGUCGGAUUAGCUAGUUGGUGAGGUAAUGGCUCACCAAGGCGACGAUCCGUAACUGGUCUGAGAGGAUGAUCAGUCACACUGGAACUGAGACACGGUCCAGACUCCUACGGGAGGCAGCAGUGGGGAAUAUUGGACAAUGGGCGAAAGCCUGAUCCAGCCAUGCCGCGUGUGUGAAGAAGGUCUUCGGAUUGUAAAGCACUUUAAGUUGGGAGGAAGGGCAUUAACCUAAUACGUUAGUGUUUUGACGUUACCGACAGAAUAAGCACCGGCUAACUCUGUGCCAGCAGCCGCGGUAAUACAGAGGGUGCAAGCGUUAAUCGGAAUUACUGGGCGUAAAGCGCGCGUAGGUGGUUCGUUAAGUUGGAUGUGAAAUCCCCGGGCUCAACCUGGGAACUGCAUUCAAAACUGUCGAGCUAGAGUAUGGUAGAGGGUGGUGGAAUUUCCUGUGUAGCGGUGAAAUGCGUAGAUAUAGGAAGGAACACCAGUGGCGAAGGCGACCACCUGGACUGAUACUGACACUGAGGUGCGAAAGCGUGGGGAGCAAACAGGAUUAGAUACCCUGGUAGUCCACGCCGUAAACGAUGUCAACUAGCCGUUGGGAGCCUUGAGCUCUUAGUGGCGCAGCUAACGCAUUAAGUUGACCGCCUGGGGAGUACGGCCGCAAGGUUAAAACUCAAAUGAAUUGACGGGGGCCCGCACAAGCGGUGGAGCAUGUGGUUAAUUCGAAGCAACGCGAAGACCUUACAGGCUUGACUCCAUGACUUCCGAGAUGGAUGGUGCUUCGGAACUUGAACAG